rnacentral:rRNA from 1 species
GAUGAUCCCCCACACUGGUACUGAGACACGGACCAGACUCCUACGGGAGGCAGCAGUGAGGAAUAUUGGUCAAUGGGCGAAAGCCUGAACCAGCCAUGCCGCGUGCAGGAUGACAGUCCUACGGAUUGUAAACUGCUUUUCUGCAAGAAGAAAUGUUCCGACGUGUCGGGAUUUGACGGUAUUGCAGGAAUAAGCAUCGGCUAACUCCGUGCCAGCAGCCGCGGUAAUACGGAGGAUGCAAGCGUUAUCCGGAUUCAUUGGGUUUCAAGGGUGCGUAGGCGGAUAUAAAUAGUCCAAGGUGAAAGCCUGCAGCUUAACUGUAGAAGUGCCUUUGAUACUGCUAAUCUUGAGUACAGUUGAGGCGAGUGGAAUGUGUAGUGUAGCGGUGAAAUGCAUAGAUACUACACAGAACACCAAUUGCGAAGGCAGCUCGCUAAGCUGUUACUGACGCUCAGGCACGAAAGCGUGGGGAGCGAACAGGAUUAGAUACCCUGGUAGUCCACCCUGUAAACUAUGAUCACUAGCUGUUGGCGAUAAAUUGUCAGUGGCUCAGCGAAAGCGUUAAGUGAUCCACCUGGGGAGUACGAUCGCAAGGUUGAAACUCAAAGGAAUUGACGGGGGCCCGCACAAGCGGUGGAACAUGUGGUUUAAUUCGAUGAUACGCGAGGAACCUUACCUGGGCUUAAAUGUAGCGCGACGUCUCGAGAAAUCGGGAUUCCCUUCGGGGCGAACUACAAGGUGCUGCAUGGUUGUCGUCAGCUCGUGCCGUGAGGUAUCGGGUUAAGUCCCAUAACGAGCGCAACCCUUAUUGUUAGUUGCCAGCGGAUAAUGCCGGGGACUCUAACAAAACUGCCCGUGUAAACGGGAGGAAGGUGGGGAUGACGUCAAAUCAGCACGGCCCUUAUGUCCAGGGCUACACACGUGUUACAAUGGCUGGAACAAAGGGCAGCUACCACGCAAGUGGAUGCUGAUCUCUAAAUCCAGUCCCAGUUCGGAUCGAAGUCUGCAAUUCGACUUCGUGAAGAUGGAAUCGCUAGUAAUCGCGCAUCAGCAAUGGCGCGGUGAAUAUGUUCCCGGGCNUUGUACACACUGCCCGUCAAGCCAUGGAAGUUAGUAGUACCUGAAGUCCGUAACCGAAAGGAGCGGCCCAGGGU